CCUACGGGGCGCAGCAGGGGGGAAUAUUGCACAAUGGGGGAAACCCUGAUGCAGCGACGCCGCGUGAGUGAAGAAGGAGUGCGGGAUGUAAAGCUCUAGCAGCAGGGAAGAAAAUGACGGUACCUGAGUAAGAAGCCCCGGCUAACUACGUGCCAGCCGCCGCGGUAAUACGUAGGGGGCAAGCGUUAUCCGGAUUUACUGGGUGUAAAGGGAGCGUAGACGGCAGCGCAAGUCUGAAGUGAAAUCCCAUGGCUUAACCAUGGAACUGCUUUGGAAACUGUGCAGCUGGAGUGCAGGAGAGGUAAGCGGAAUUCCUAGUGUAGCGGUGAAAUGCGUAGAUAGUAGGAGGAACACCAGUGGCGAAGGCGGCUUACUGGACUGUAACUGACGUUGAGGCUCGAAAGCGUGGGGAGCAAACAGGAUUAGAUACCCUUGUAGUC
rnacentral:rRNA from 1 species